CCUACGGGUGGCUGCAGUGGGGAAUAUUGGACAAUGGGGGGAACCCUGAUCCAGCCAUGCCGCGUGUGUGAAGAAGGCCCUCGGGUUGUAAAGCACUUUCAGUGAGGAAGAACGCCUGGUGGUUAAUACCCAUCAGGAAAGACAUCACUCACAGAAGAAGCACCGGCUAACUCCGUGCCAGCAGCCGCGGUAAUACGGAGGGUGCGAGCGUUAAUCGGAAUUACUGGGCGUAAAGCGCGCGUAGGUGGCUUGAUAAGCCGGUUGUGAAAGCCCCGGGCUCAACCUGGGAACGGCAUCCGGAACUGUCAAGCUAGAGUGCAGGAGAGGUAGGUAGAAUUCCCGGUGUAGCGGUGAAAUGCGUAGAGAUCGGGAGGAAUACCAGUGGCGAAGGCGGCCUUCUGGACUGACACUGACACUGAGGUGCGAAAGCGUGGGUAGCAAACAGGAUUAGAUACCCUGGUAGUC
rnacentral:rRNA from 1 species